rnacentral:rRNA from 1 species
UACGUAGGGGGCGAGCGUUGUCCGGAUUUAUUGGGCGUAAAGGGCGCGUAGGCGGCUCUGCACGUUCGUUGUGAAAUCGCCCGGCUCAACUGGGCGGGGUCAGCGGAUACGGCAGAGCUUGAGCAAGCUAGGGGGCAAUGGAAUUCCCGGUGUAGUGGUGGAAUGCGUAGAUAUCGGGAGGAACACCAGUGGCGAAGGCGGUUGCCUGGGGCUUUGCUGACGCUGAUGCGCGAAAGCGUGGGGAGCGAUCCGG